rnacentral:rRNA from 1 species
UACGGAGGGGGCUAGCGUUGUUCGGAAUUACUGGGCGUAAAGCGCACGUAGGCGGCUUUGUAAGUCCGCUGUGAAAGUCCAGGGCUCAACCCUGGAAAGCCGGUGGAAACUGUCAAGCUUGAGUCCGGAAGAGGCGAGUGGAAUUCCUGGUGUAGCGGUGAAAUGCGCAGAUAUCAGGAAGAACACCCGUGGCUAAGGCGGCUCUCUAGUACGGUACUGACGCUGAGACGCGAAAGCGUGGGGAGCGAACAGG